CCUUUUCUCUUUCUCUUAUUCUUUUCUCUGUCUCUUUUAUUUUUUCUUGGCUCCAAGGGAGGGAAAGAGAAACGAAAAAUUUGUAGUAUGACUGUAUGAACAAGAAGUGUCUUUUCUUUUUGAUUUGCUUUGAGAAAAACAAAUAAACAAAAAACAUUAUU
rnacentral:ribozyme from 13 species